GUACCCUCAAGCUUUGCUUGGUGUUGGGCGUUUUGUCUUUUUAUCAAGACUCGCCUUAAAGUAAUUGGCAGCCAGUGUUUUGGUAGUAAGCGCAGCACAUUUUGCGUCUUAGUUCUUUAACAGCGGCAUCCAUAAAGCCUCUUUCUCAC
rnacentral:misc_RNA from 1 species